rnacentral:snRNA from 1 species
CACUCUUGUUUUCUUCAGAUCGUAUAAAUCUUUCGCCUUUUUAAUAAAGAUUUCCGUGGAGAGGAACAACAAGAGUUUGACUCAAAUUAAGGCUGCCGUUCAGUGUCCCACAUAAUAAAGGCG